rnacentral:lncRNA from 1 species
UUCCAAAUUGAUUCUAGAAUCAAAAUUUUUUCAAUUUUUGUCAAGCUCAUAAGUCAAGAUUGACAUCUAAUAAUAUAUCAUGAAUACUCAAAAAAUUUAAAAUUUUGAUGAAAAAUUAUCAAAAUACCCUUCAGUGGUAAGUUCCUAUGUAAUUCAAUCCUUCAAUCAAAUAACAUUCUAAAUAAGCUGUGGACAUGAAAAUAUGUUAAACUGAAUCACUUAUCUUUAUGUAUCUCAAUCUGAAGGUGAUGAUUCAGUUGAUGAUACAUUAGAAAUUAUUUUUUAAUUAUCACCCUACUUUGGCCAAAGACUUCCAGAAUCACCAUCCUAUAAGAUCACAUAAGAUGUUCGCUCCCCUUAUUAGGAGUGACUGAUCCCUUAUUGAUUACUCACAACCUCUAUGCACACUUCACCAUAUCCAGAAUAUCGCACACAAUGAUCAAAAAAUUAAAUUAGGUGUGAACCAAAAUAUGGAUCUAUGUAUACAAGGUACUAUAGUGACC